AAACCAGCACCUCAAGUGGUCAGGAUGAUUAUUGGGCCUAAAGCAUCCGUAGCCGGCUCUGUAAGUUUUCGGUUAAAUCCAUUAGCUCAACUAAUGGGCCGCCGAAAAUACUGUAGAACUAGGGAGUGGGAGAGGUAGACGGUAUUCGGUAGGAAGGGGUAAAAUCCUUUGAUCUAUUGAGGACCACCUGUGGCGAAGGCGGUCUACCAGAACACGUUCGACGGUGAGGGAUGAAAGCUGGGGGAGCAAACCGGAUUAGAAACCCCAGUAGUCC
rnacentral:rRNA from 1 species